GAUUCUGGCUCAGGAUGAACGCUGGCGGCGUGCUUAACACAUGCAAGUCGAACGGAGUAUAUUUAAAAGCUUGCUUUGUUAUACUUAGUGGCGGACGGGUGAGUAACGCGUGGGUAACCUGCCUUAUACCGGGGGACAACAGUUGGAAACGACUGCUAAUACCGCAUAAGCGCACAGUCUCGCAUGAGACAGUGUGAAAAACUCCGGUGGUAUAAGAUGGACCCGCGUCUGAUUAGCCAGUUGGCGGUGUAACGGACCACCAAAGCGACGAUCAGUAGCCGGCCUGAGAGGGUGAACGGCCACAUUGGGACUGAGACACGGCCCAAACUCCUACGGGAGGCAGCAGUGGGGAAUAUUGCACAAUGGAGGAAACUCUGAUGCAGCCGACGCCGCGUGAGUGAAGAAGUAUUUCGGUAUGUAAAGCUCUAUCAGCAGGAAAGAAAAUGACGGUACCUGACUAAGAAGCCCCGGCUAACUACGUGCCAGCAGCUGC
rnacentral:rRNA from 1 species